rnacentral:lncRNA from 1 species
AAAAUGUCCAGAUACGUGAUAGAUUAGAAUCUAAAACUGAUUGAAAACAGAACACAGACAUCCAAGUAACCAGAUAGUCUGGGUUUAAAAAAAUUUGCCAUGGUAUUGGUUAAAGUGUACUUUUAAAAUAUUUUAAUUUACCUAAUUUUUCAAAUAUUUUAUGCUAUUAAAAUAUCUACUGCAUACUUUUUGUAUAUGUAUUUUUAAAUUUUAAAAAAUGAACGGGCUGGGCAAAGAUGAUGUAAUUUUAGAUGUUUCAUUUCGAAGACAUUUAACUAGAUUCCCAAUCACUUCAUUCAAAAGCUUGGUCUUGUUUUUUUCCAUAGGAAAAAGUCAAAGUGAGUUCUAAAAACGGUCCUCAGAGUCAGGAGUGAGCUGCGGUGCAGACUGGACUUGUAGACAGUGUGCAGGAGGGGCACUGACAGAGGAGAGGCAGGCAUGCCAAGCCUCUGUUAACUGUUUUUGUCUUGUUAAAAAAAACAGACUUUUGAUUUCACAAAGGCAAAUUGUUGUGAUUUUUUUUGAUGCUUCAAGCACAUGUUAACUGAUUUUUAAUUCCUUUUGGUUCCUCCCAUUAUCCUAACAUAGGACUUUCAUAUUAACCUCAAAAGCUGAUCCACCCAGGUUGAGCAGAGCGUCACCAAGGGGAAAGGAAACCUUUUUUACUUUUACAGAAACAAAUGUUAAGAUUAUAUAUACAUGUAUUCUUUACAUUGGAUAUUGUAUUACAGUCCUCCUUACAGGAAAUGAAAUAGUUUAGCACUCUUAGCAUUAGCAUUCCUAGAUUGGUGUCUAUAGCUACCGUUUUAAAAUGUAUAACCUGAAAAUGAAGUUAAUUUUGCAUUAAUAAGAGCACACCAUGAUCUAUGUAAAAAGACUGUCCAUUUGGUGUAUUUUUUUAAAAGAGAAAGCACUUUCAUAUUAACAAGUAGCAUGUGUAUGAAUUUUAGAUUUUCAUAUUUGUUGUGUCUGUAUUCAGUGAAGUAAAAUUGAACAUUCAGAUGUUUGUUGAUGGCAACAUUAACUGUUAAAUUAAAGCACCUUAUACUCUGCUGCUUAAACUUGCUUGUAAUUGCACCUUUGUUACCUGCACAUUUUCACAUAGAAUAUUGUUGUUAACAUUGCCUCAUGUGGGUCUGGAUGGAAGGUUAGUGGGCCUACAGGAUCAUUUAUUUAUAUUGUUUAUAUUACAAUAAUAUAUUGUAGACCAGUUGUAAGUUCAUUUCUUUACAAAUAAAAGCCUCUUCCAUUUG